AUGACCGACGCUGGUUAAAGUGUGGUAUCUGUUCUUAUCAGCUUAAUAUCCUUAUCCGCUUAAUAUCUGACACGGGUUCUAUUUUGACCCAAGGUAUUAAACUUAUUUUUGCAAGUUCGCAGAGUGCUUGAAGCCUGCUUCACCUCCACCGCGGGACGGCCGGUAUCUUCGGGAUCGGCCCAAUUUUU